rnacentral:ribozyme from 12 species
AAAGCAACAACAAAAGAAAAAAAAAACGAUGGUUUCAUUGGUUGCCAAAAUUUGUAUUCAAUAUAUUGUUCUUACCAUGUUUUUUCUUGUU